UACGUAGGGUGCAAGCGUUGUCCGGAAUUACUGGGCGUAAAGCGUGCGCAGGCGGUUUUGUAAGCCAGAUGUGAAAUCCCCGGGCUUAACCUGGGAAUGGCAUUUGGGACUGCAAGGCUUGAGUGCGGCAGAGGAGACUGGAAUUCCUGGUGUAGCAGUGAAAUGCGUAGAUAUCAGGAGGAACACCGAUGGCGAAGGCAGGUCUCUGGGCUGACACUGACGCUCAUGCACGAAAGCGUGGGGAGCAAACAGG
rnacentral:rRNA from 1 species